CGAGACUAGAACGUUGAUAGGCAGGGUGUGUAAGCGUUGUGAGGCGUUGAGCUAACCUGUACUAAUUGCCCGUGAGGCUUAACCAU
rnacentral:rRNA from 1 species